rnacentral:tRNA from 1 species
GCCCCAGUAGCUCAGGGGAUAGAGCGUCUGCCUCCGGAGCAGAAGGGCGCAGGUUCGAAUCCUGUCUGGGGCA